rnacentral:tRNA from 1 species
GGGUCGUUAGCUCAGUUGGUAGAGCAGUUGACUUUUAAUCAAUUGGUCGCAGGUUCGAAAGCUCGCGGCGACGGCCCG